UUCGAGACCGGCGCACGGGUGCCCCCUUCGUAUGCAAUCUACCUUAUACAGGGGAAUAGCCCAGAGAAAUUUGGAUUAAUGCCCCAUAGUAUUAUUGAAUGGCAUCAUUUGAUAAUUAAAGUUCCAACGGUAUAAGAUGAGCAUGCGUCCCAUUAGUUAGUUGGUAAGGUAACGGCUUACCAAGACAAUGAUGGGUAGGGGUCCUGAGAGAGAGAUCCCCCACACUGGUACUGAGACACGGACCAGACUCCUACGGGAGGCAGCAGUGAGGAAUAUUGGUCAAUGGGCGCAAGCCUGAACCAGCCAUGCCGCGUGCAGGAAGAAGCAUCUAUGGUGUGUAAACUGCUUUUAUACAGGAAGAAACAACGCUACGUGUAGCGUCUUGACGGUACUGUAAGAAUAAGGACCGGCUAACUCCGUGCCAGCAGCCGCGGUAAUACGGAGGGUCCAAGCGUUAUCCGGAAUCAUUGGGUUUAAAGGGUCCGUAGGCGGCCUUAUAAGUCAGUGGUGAAAUCUCCUAGCUCAACUAGGAAACUGCCAUUGAUACUGUAAGGCUUGAAUUUUUGUGAAGUAACUAGAAUAUGUAGUGUAGCGGUGAAAUGCUUAGAUAUUACAUGGAAUACCAAUUGCGAAGGCAGGUUACUAACAAACGAUUGACGCUGAUGGACGAAAGCGUGGGGAGCGAACAGGAUUAGAUACCCUGGUAGUCCACGCCGUAAACGAUGGAUACUACCUGUUCGGAGCAAUCUGAAUGGCUAAGCGAAAGUGAUAAGUAUCCCCCCUGGGGAGUACGCACGCAAGUGUGAAACUCUAAAGAAUUGACGGGGGGCC
rnacentral:rRNA from 1 species